rnacentral:sRNA from 1 species
UACAGAUGAUGUUGGAUCCAAUUCGGAA